rnacentral:rRNA from 1 species
UGGGGAAUAUUGGACAAUGGAGGAAACUCUGAUCCAGCAAUUCUGUGUGUGUGAAGAAGGUUUUAGGACUGUAAAACACUUUUAGUAGGGAAGAAAAAAAUGACGGUACCUACAGAAGAAGCAACGGCUAAAUACGUGCCAGCAGCCGCGGUAAUACGUAUGUUGCGAGCGUUAUCCGGAAUUAUUGGGCUUAAAGGGCAUCUAGGCGGUAAGACAAGUUGAAGGUGAAAACCUGUGGCUCAACCAUAGGCUUGCCUACAAAACUGUUGAACUAGAGUACUGGAAAGGUGGGUGGAACUACACGAGUAGAGGUGAAAUUCGUAGAUAUGUGUAGGAAUGCCGAUGAUGAAGAUAACUCACUAGACAGAAACUGACGCUGAAGUGCGAAAGCUAGGGGAGCAAACAGG